GAGAUGGGGGCAGGCCAGGGCAAAGGAGAUGCCAGAAGCAGGGAGUGAAGAGGGAGUUCAGGGCCUCAGGUGAGGGCUCCUUUCCGUGCAGAACGGGCCAAAGAAACACAUCCCAGACUCACUGACCAGGGAGGACCGAGGACACCAGGCCAGGACCCUCUGUCCCUCAUGGAGCCAUUGCCUACAAAUGUAUCCAGGAGACAACAGUGACACACAUGAGAUGUCCUUCAAGUGAAACUGUUCGAGAUUCCCCAGAGGAAAUCUUCACGGAGACCCCAAGAAGCGGCUGGGCCCAGCUUACCUUCAUCCACGUCUCAGGUCUGGGAGCUGCAGACAUAGCAGAAUCAACCUGGGAAUAAAGCCCGGAAGACUUGGUUGUGGCUUCAAGAUAGAAUGCUGUUGAUACGAUUCCCCACAAUGAAAAGGUAAAGUGAUAACUGAUGGAAGUAGGGUGGCAGAAGGAGAGCCAGGAGGGCAGAGGAAGACUGCUUUACUGCCACCCUGAUGCACAUGGUGGAAAGCCAAGAGAUACCUUUAAUGUCGGUGGAAGAAAUGGAAAAUAUCAUCUAAAUUUGCAAAGGGAAUGGACCUGCAACCGUGCACCCUGAGGGCUGUGAUCUUAUCGGGAUUGGGUGAGCUCACAGGCUCGUGGCAGGGAUGGAGGGAACGGGGAACGGAGGCAUCCGGCGGCCAUACCUGGGUCUUCUCGGGGCCUGGACCUGCCGCACUUCUCUGGGGAGGGGCUUUCACAGUCUCCUCGUCCACCCCGUUGGAGAUCCUCCUCAUGGGCCAGGGUCACCAUACGUGGGCACCAACCUUCCCAAACUGAUCCUUCUCAUGGGCCAGGGUCGCCAUGCGUGGGCACCAACCUUCCCAAACUGGAACAUCUCCAAUGACUCCCCUUUCCUUAAAAGAGUUUUGAAGAUCAAUAAAACAUAUUUUUAAAAUUAAUAAAAAAUGUGCAUUGAUUCAGCUUGUCUUCUCUUAGGGGGUGGUGGUGAAGGGGAGAGUAGUGUUUUUCAGAUGUGGACAGCUUCAUUUUGUCCAAAGUUGACUCCUGAGCAAGGCGUUCAGAGCCCUCCGUAGGAGCCCCAGCCCUGAGUUCCACGUGGUAUCUCGGCUUACCCUUUCUAACUCCA
rnacentral:lncRNA from 1 species